rnacentral:tRNA from 1 species
CGCGGGAUGGAGCAGUGGUAGCUCGUUGGGCUCAUAACCCAAAGGUCGCAGGUUCGAGCCCUCCUCCCGCCACUA